rnacentral:rRNA from 1 species
GCUCAACCGGGGAGGGUCAUUGGAAACUGGGGAACUUGAGUGCAGAAGAGGAGAGUGGAAUUCCACGUGUAGCGGUGAAAUGCGUAGAGAUGUGGAGGAACACCAGUGGCGAAGGCGACUCUCUGGUCUGUAACUGACGCUGAGGCGCGAAAGCGUGGGGAGCGAACAGGAUUAGCUACCCUGGUAGUCCACGCCGUAAACGAUGAGUGCUAAGUGUUAGAGGGUUUCCGCCCUUUAGUGCUGCAGCAAACGCAUUAAGCACUCCGCCUGGGGAGUACGGUCGCAAGACUGAAACUCAAAGGAAUUGACGGGGGCCCGCACAAGCGGUGGAGCAUGUGGUUUAAUUCGAAGCAACGCGAAGAACCUUACCAGGUCUUGACAUCCUCUGACAACCCUAGAGAUAGGGCUUCCCCUUCGGGGGCAGAGUGACAGGUGGUGCAUGGUUGUCGUCAGCUCGUGUCGUGAGAUGUUGGGUUAAGUCCCGCAACGAGCGCAACCCUUGAUCUUAGUUGCCAGCAUUCAGUUGGGCACUCUAAGGUGACUGCCGGUGACAAACCGGAGGAAGGUGGGGAUGACGUCAAAUCAUCAUGCCCCUUAUGACCUGCGCUACACACGUGCUACAAUGGGCAGAACAAAG